ACCCGGAGCGAGGCCAUCGUGCAGCAAGGAGGAAUACCAGCUGAUGUCAGUCCGCCAGCCAAAACCAGGGAGGAGAAGCGGGAGCCAGCCCUCUGGAGUCGGGAGAAGGAAGAAGGUGCCACAGCUCUUCAGGACCACGGUUGGGAGAAAGAAUGGAGGGGUUUUAGAACCUUCAGUGUGCGACUUCAUGUGCCAGUCUUCAUCUCAGGAUCUCAAGCUCUUGGAUCAUGGGCACGGAUAACCUGUUGUCCUCCUCUAUGGUCAAGAGGCUGCUUUUGCAAAGAAUCCAGUGGGAGAGAGUCAAUGGCCUGCUUGACGUGAACUCCAAAGUCCUCCUGGAACAGGGGCUCACUCUGUUGCCCACAUUGGAGUGCGGUGGAAGAAUCAUGGCAUGCUGCAGUCUUGAGCUUCUAGGCUCAAGAGAUCCUCCUGGUUCAGUCUCCCAAGUAGCUAGGACAGCAGGCAUAUUUUUUGUAGAUAUGGGGGUCUUGCUUUUUUGCCGAGGCUGGUCUCGAACUCCUGGCUUCAAGCAAUCUUCCUGCAUCAGUCUCUUAAAGUGUUGGGAUUCCAGGCAUGAACCACUGCACCUGGCCCUUGGGAAGUUUUAUUUUUAGCCUAGGGUUGGGGUUAAGUUUGCAUCAUGAUGUUGAGACCUCCAAAGGAGAACUUAUUGUAGUCAUUCCUGAGCUCAGGUGUCCAAACUGUCUAAUUGGAGAAUCUGGGAAUUUUCUCUCGUUUUGAUUUUCCUCUUCCACUUUUCCAUGCCAGUUGGAUGUUUGAAUGUUUUUAUCGACCUCUGAGAGCAUCCGGGUAACUGAGGGUUUACUUUGGGGGUCUUUGGAGAUGAAUAGGGACAGGAGACCUCACCUUUCUUUUCCAUGUAGCCAUAGGAGAUAGUCCCACGAUCUGAUGAUCUGUAGCAAUGGGUAGAGGAAGGGCCGUAUUAG
rnacentral:lncRNA from 1 species